CGUAGGCAACCUGCCUGUAAGAUCGGGAUAACUACCGGAAACGGUAGCUAAGACCGAAUAAUCAGCUUGGUCGCAUGACCGGGCUGGGAAAAGCGGAGCAAUCUGCUACUUACAGAUGGGCCUGCGGCGCAUUAGCUAGUUGGUGGGGUAACGGCUCACCAAGGCGACGAUGCGUAGCCGACCUGAGAGGGUGAACGGCCACACUGGGACUGAGACACGGCCCAGACUCCUACGGGAGGCAGCAGUAGGGAAUCUUCCGCAAUGGACGCAAGUCUGACGGAGCAACGCCGCGUGAGUGAUGAAGGUUUUCGGAUCGUAAAGCUCUGUUGCCAGGGAAGAACGCUUGGGAGAGUAACUGCUCUSAAGGUGACGGUACCUGAGAAGAAAGCCCCGGCUAACUACGUGCCAGCAGCCGCGGUAAUACGUAGGGGGCAAGCGUUGUCCGGAAUUAUUGGGCGUAAAGCGCGCGCAGGCGGCUUUGUAAGUCUGGUGUUUAAACCUAGGGCUCAACCCUGGGUCGCAUUGGAAACUGCAAGGCUUGAGUGCAGAAGAGGAGAGUGGAAUUCCACGUGUAGCGGUGAAAUGCGUAGAGAUGUGGAGGAACACCAGUGGCGAAGGCGACUCUCUGGGCUGUAACUGACGCUGAGGCGCGAA
rnacentral:rRNA from 1 species